rnacentral:rRNA from 1 species
UACGUAGGGGGCGAGCGUUGUCCGGAUUUAUUGGGCGUAAAGAGCGUGUAGGCGGCCAGGUAGGUCUGCUGUGAAAACUCGAGGCUCAACCUCGAGACGUCGGCGGAAACCAUCUGGCUAGAGUCCGGAAGAGGAGAGUGGAAUUCCUGGUGUAGCGGUGAAAUGCGCAGAUAUCAGGAGGAACACCGGUGGCGAAGGCGGUUCUCUGGGCAUUACCUGACGCUGAAUCGCGAAAGCUAGGGGAGCAAACGGG